UGUUGGCAAUCAUCUUAGGUGGGCGGGUGAGUCCGGAGUACGGACUCUAUCAGAGAGGUCAAAGCCUGGGGCUUUUCAGAGAAGGGAGGAUUAUGGGUUUUCUAAUUAUAUAAGUCAGAAGUAGAAAAAGGGACAUAAACUAAGAAGGGGGCUGAGCGCUCGUCACCUGGAGGGACUUGUGCCUCUCUCAGUGGUAGUAGAGGGGCUACUUCUUCCUGUCACGGUCGCGAUUGAGAGGCAAUGGGUGGCGAGUCUACAGGGGACGUCGUCGAGGAGACAUGGGAUAACUUUAAGGGAGCAGACAGACAAGGGGAGGGGGUCCUGUGAUGGGAUCAGUCAGAUGCCUGCCUGGCCGCUCCCCCUGAGGGGACUUGGGCUCCUCUUAGCAUUGGCAGCCCGGUAUAAACUUCCGGCUCAGAUCGAGCUAUGCCUGAUGCUGUCCUUAAGCCUUAAGAGGUCGCCACGGAAUCGCAGGUGAGGGCCCACUUGAACUCCGUAGCUUUCGCCGUGGAGCUACAAACUGGAGGACAAGCGCAAGCCCUUGUCCUCCCUCAUUCAUUCAUUAUUCACACAGAGUUUAAAACAGUUUUUUUUUCUUUCUUGGAGAUUCUUCAAGAAACUGGAACAAGAGAAAGAUGAGAGAUAGAAAAAGAGAGCGAGAGAGAGAGUGACCGGUCUGCCAGAAACCAGGACUCAGUCCUCCAGCAUCCUGGGAUGUGGACUGAGUCAAGGGAGGGCCCCUAUCAGGGCCACUUCCCUCCUAGACAGAGACACAGAGGUGCCUAACAGAAAACCAGGGCUCUGCCUUCUAGCGUCCUAGAGAAAUGGGCAGAGUCAAAAGAGGGAUGCCCUCAUAAGGGCCGCUUCCCUCUUACUAGAACUGAAGUCAAAUCUGACCUACCUGACCUCAGGGUCAGAAGUUGAGGACUCAGAGGUGGAAUUUUUGUGGGCACCCACACGGUAGUCGAUCCGCUUUCCUCUGGAAGACGGUCACCUUUCAGGGACCUGAAAA
rnacentral:lncRNA from 10 species